UACGUAGGGUGCGAGCGUUGUCCGGAAUUAUUGGGCGUAAAGAGCUUGUAGGCGGUCUGUCGCGUCUGCUGUGAAAAUCCGGGGCUCAACCCCGGACUUGCAGUGGGUACGGGCAGACUAGAGUGUGGUAGGGGAGACUGGAAUUCCUGGUGUAGCGGUGAAAUGCGCAGAUAUCAGGAGGAACACCGAUGGCGAAGGCAGGUCUCUGAGCCACUACUGACGCUGAGAAGCGAAAGCAUGGGGAGCGAACAGG
rnacentral:rRNA from 1 species